rnacentral:rRNA from 1 species
CAGCAGCCACGGUAAUACGAAGGGGGCUAGCGUUGUUCGGAUUUACUGGGCGUAAAGGGCGCGUAGGCGGGCUGAUAAGUCAGGGGUGAAAUCCCAAGGCUCAACCUUGGAACUGCCUUUGAUACUGUUUGUCUUGAGUUCGAGAGAGGUAAGUGGAACUGCGAGUGUAGAGGUGAAAUUCGUAGAUAUUCGCAAGAACACCAGUGGCGAAGGCGGCUUACUGGCUCGAAACUGACGCUGAGGCGCGAAAGCGUGGGGAGCAAACAGGAUUAGAUACCCCAGUAGUCCCUGUCUCUAUACC